rnacentral:tRNA from 1 species
AGGGGCAUAGUUCAAUGGUAGAGCAACGGUCUCCAAAACCGUUAAUGGGAGUUCGAAUCUCUCUGCCCCUG